rnacentral:rRNA from 1 species
GAUGAACGCUGGCGGCGUGCCUAACACAUGCAAGUCGAGCGAACAGAUAAGGAGCUUGCUCCUUUGACGUUAGCGGCGGACGGGUGAGUAACACGUGGGUAACCUACCUAUAAGACUGGGAUAACUUCGGGAAACCGGAGCUGAUACCGGAUAACAUUUGGAACCGCAUGGUUCUAAAGUGAAAGAUGGUUUUGCUAUCACUUAUAGAUGGACCCGCGCCGUAUUAGCUAGUUGGUAAGGUAACGGCUUACCAAGGCGACGAUACGUAGCCGACCUGAGAGGGUGAUCGGCCACACUGGAACUGAGACACGGUCCAGACUCCUACGGGAGGCAGCAGUAGGGAAUCUUCCGCAAUGGGCGAAAGCCUGACGGAGCAACGCCGCGUGAGUGAUGAAGGGUUUCGGCUCGUAAAACUCUGUUAUUAGGGAAGAACAAACGUGUAAGUAACUGUGCACGUCUUGACGGUACCUAAUCAGAAAGCCACGGCUAACUACGUG